AUGUGCCUGCUGUGCUCCCCAUGGCCCUGGAGUGCAAGGCCCCAAAAGAAGGCGGGUCCGUGACCCUGGCCUGCUUGGUGACGGGGACCAACUCAGCCACGUGGCACAAAGGAGCAGAGAAGCUGCCGGCAAAUUACUCUGUGAUGAGACGCUUGGAGGAGAAGGUCCAGUACCUCUUCUAUCAAACCUUCGUCUGGAAGCCUGUCCAAUACAGCUGCAGCACCAAGCACAUGUCCAAGACCUUCCAGUGGCCAGCAUCUUGGAAAACCCUGAAGGACGAGGCGGAGCUGACCACCUCAGUGACCCACAUGUCACCUUUCUCAGAGAAACUCACCCCAAGCACCACCACUACCGGAGGCCCAGCCCUUCCGGCCACCUCCGCCCUCAAGGACAUGCGUCCUCCAGAGCCGUCCCAUGAUCUGGGCACAACUGGGCUUCUCCCCGCAGCUGCCACGGCGCCGAGCAGCCUCGCCGUCCGGGUCCUGAAAACGCCGGGCACUCACGCCUCUGCUGGGGUGGCCUCCUGGCUCCUGUGCGAGGUGUCAGGCUUCUCGCCCCCAGAGCUGCUCCUCACCUGGCAGGAGGGCUCGCGCCAGGUGGACUCCUCUUGGUUUGCCACCGCGGCGCCCACAGCCGAGCCUGGAAACAGCAAGUUCCGCACCUGGAGUGUCCUGCGGGUCCCGGCCACCCACAGCCCCCCGCCGGCCACCUACACGUGCGAGGUCAGGCACACGGCCUCGGGCAGGCUGCUCAACGCCAGCUGGAGCCUGGACACUGCAGGUGAGGCACCCCCGGCACAGGGCUGGGGGAGGGCAGGCGGGGCAGCAGCCGGCGGUCUGGCCCCGCCCCUCUGGGUCCCCCUGAGCAUAGAUGUGGACUGUGACGCCUUCGCUGACCAGGAAGAUGCCGGCCCCCUGUGGCCCACCUUCGUGGCCCUCUUCCUCCUCAGCCUGUUCUACGGCGGCUUCGUCACCUUCGUCAAGGUGAAGGUCCGGGACCCGGCCCCACUGGGCUGUGCCAAAACGAUGCCCUUCCAGGGGGCUCGCUGGAGCCGGCCCGGGACUGUGCAGAGCUGGGAAACCCCGGCAGGAGGGCAGUGGGCUGUGGGCACCCGCCUGGCCUGA